rnacentral:tRNA from 1 species
AGCGGGGUGGAGCAGUCUGGUAGCUCGACGGGCUCAUAACCCGUAGGUCGUAGGUUCAAAUCCUUCCCCCGCCA